UACGUAGGGGGCUAGCGUUGUCCGGAUUUAUUGGGCUUAAAGGGUGCGUAGGCGGCCAACUAAGUCAGACGUGAAAUCCCUCGGCUUAACCGGGGAACUGCAUCUGAUACUGGAUGGCUUGAGAUUGGGAGAGGGAUGCGGAAUUCCAGGUGUAGCGGUGAAAUGCUUAGAUGUCGUCAAGAACACCUAUAGCGAAGGCAGCUUACUAGGCUGUAACUGACGCUGAGGCACGAAAGUGUGGGGAUCAAACAGG
rnacentral:rRNA from 1 species